AACGAACGCUGGCGGCAUGCCUAACACAUGCAAGUCGAACGAGACCUUCGGGUCUAGUGGCGCACGGGUGCGUAACGCGUGGGAACCUGCCCUUAGGUUCGGAAUAACUCCCCGAAAGGGGUGCUAAUACCGGCUAAUGUCUUCGGACCAAAGAUUUAUCGCCUUUGGAUGGGCCCGCGUUGGAUUAGCUAGUUGGUAGGGUAAAAGCCUACCAAGGCGACGAUCCAUAGCUGGUCUGAGAGGAUGAGCAGCCACACUGGGACUGAGACACGGCCCAGAAUCCUACGGGAGGCAGCAGUGGGGAAUAUUGGACAAUGGGCGAAAGCCUGAUCCAGCAAUGCCGCGUGAGUGAUGAAGGCCUUAGGGUUGUAAAGCUCUUUUACCCGGGAUGAUAAUGACAGUACCGGGAGAAUAAGCUCCGGCUAACUCCGUG
rnacentral:rRNA from 1 species